rnacentral:rRNA from 1 species
CUACGGGCGGCAGCAGUGAGGAAUAUUGCACAAUGGGGGGAAACAUGAGGCAGCAACGCCGCGUGGAGGAGGACGCAUUUCGGUGUGUAAACUCCUUUUCUCUGGCAAGAAAAUGACGGUAGCAUAUGAAUAAGCACCGGCUAACUCCGUGCCAGCAGCCGCGGUAAUACGGAGGGUGCAAGCGUUACUCGGAAUCACUGGGCGUAAAGGACGCGUAGGCGGGUUGGAAAGUCAGGUGUGAAAUCCUACAGCUUAACUGUAGAACUGCACUUGAAACUUCUAAUCUAGAGUAUGGGAGGGGGAGAUGGAAUUAGUGGUGUAGGGGUAAAAUCCGUAGAUAUCACUAGGAAUACCUAAAGCGAAGGCGAUCUCCUGGAACAUUACUGACGCUAAGGCGUGAAAGCGUGGGGAGCAAACAGGAUUAGAUACCCCGGUAGUC